rnacentral:ncRNA from 1 species
UAGGGAAUUGCAAUUAUUUCCCUUGAACGAGGAAUUCCCAGUAAGCGCGAGUCAUUAGCUCGCGUUGAUUACGUCCCUGCCCUUUGUACACACCGCCCGUCGCUACUACCGAUUGAAUGGUUUAGUGAGGUCCUCCGAUUGGACCCGGUCCGGGCGGCGACGUCCGAGCCGGCGUCCGAGAAGACGAUCUAACUUGAUCAUUUAGAGGAAGUAAAAGUCGUAACAAGGUUUCCGUAGGUGAACCUGCGGAAGGAUCAUUA